GGGGGAGCGGAAGGGCGGCGUCCUGGUGCGCGGGUCCCGGGGAGGGGAGGCCGGGCGGGUGGGCGAUGGGCGCGGCUCCCAGGCUCCCUGCCCCGCGGAGAGCAAAUCCCGGUUUCUCCGAGCACCUGGUGAAAGGCGGCGACCGACCGCGGCGGGAAGCGUGUGCCCUAGCCCGGGGGACCAGGAGGCGCAGCCUGAGGGUUGAGUGCCUGCUGGGUGCCCCCACGGCCCCCGGGAACACACCCGUGGUCAGAGGAGUUGCGUUUGCUGCUCUUCGAUGGCUGCAGCACCCCAUGGGGGCCCGCGGCGGGAGGCAGCACCGGGCUCUUGAUGGACUUGGCAGCCAAUGAAAAGGCCGUUCAUGCAGACUUUUUUAACGAUUUUGAAGAUCUUUUUGAUGAUGAUGACAUCCAGUGAGAUGCCCUCUGGCUGCAGGCGGGGCCAAGCCCUUGGUACAGAGCCGCAGUGUGAGCCUGCGCAGGACAGUUUCAGGUGGUUUUAAAGAACACGUGGAAAUCCCUUGAAUUUAGGACCUGGUUAACCAGAAAGAUAAGACUGUUCUUAACGACCUAGAUGAUUCUGUUCAUCUCUGAACGGGAUCAGGUUUUGUCCUCACUCCAAUUAAAAGAAAGCAAUGUCA
rnacentral:lncRNA from 10 species